AUUGAACGCUGGCGGAAUGCUUUACACAUGCAAGUCGAGCGGCAGCGCGGGGGCAACCCUGGCGGCGAGCGGCGAACGGGUGAGUAAUACAUCGGAACGUGUCCUUAAGUGGGGGAUAGCUCGGCGAAAGCCGGAUUAAUACCGCAUAAGCUCUGAGGAGGAAAGCGGGGGCUCCGUAAGGACCUCGCGCUGUUGGAGCGGCCGAUGUCGGAUUAGCUAGUUGGUGGGAUAAAGGCCCACCAAGGCGACGAUCCGUAGCUGGUCUGAGAGGAUGAUCAGCCACACUGGAACUGAGACACGGUCCAGACUCCUACGGGAGGCAGCAGUGGGGAAUUUUGGACAAUGGGGGGCAACCCUGAUCCAGCCAUUCCGCGUGAGUGAAGAAGGCC
rnacentral:rRNA from 1 species